rnacentral:rRNA from 1 species
UACGUAGGGUGCAAGCGUUGUCCGGAAUUAUUGGGCGUAAAGAGCGUGUAGGCGGCCCGAUUAGUCCGCUGUGAAAGUCCAGGGCUCAACCCUGGAAUGCCGGUGGAUACUGUCGGGCUAGAGUCCGGAAGGGGCGAGUGGAAUUCCUGGUGUAGCGGUGAAAUGCGCAGAUAUCAGGAGGAACACCAAUGGCGAAGGCAGCUCGCUGGGACGUGACUGACGCUGAGACGCGAAAGCGUGGGGAGCGAACGGG